rnacentral:rRNA from 1 species
AACGCAGCAAAGGGCGAUAAGUAAUGUGAAUUGCAGAAUUCAGUGAAUCAUCGAAUCUUUGAACGCACCUUGCGCUCUUUGGUAUUCCGAAGAGCAUGCCUGUUUGAGUGUCAUGAAAAUAUCAACCUUGACUUGGGUUUUUGUGCUCUAGUCUUGGCUUGGAAUUGGGUGCUUGCCGCUUUUACGAGCGGCUCACCUUAAAUGUAUUAGCUGGAUCUGUCUUUGAGACUUGGUUUGACUUGGCGUAAUAAGUAUUUCGCUAAGGACAUUCUUCGGAGUGGCCUCGUUUCUAGGACGCUUGUCCGCUUCCCAAUACAAGUUCCACCUCGUGGACAUGACUUUUUAUUAUCUGGCCUCAAAUCAGGUAGGACUACCCGCUGAACUUAA